rfam:Stegodyphus mimosarum contig48919, whole genome shotgun sequence.
GCCUUCGUGGUAUAGUGGUCAGCACACUGAGCCGGUAUUUCAGAGGUCCGUGGUUCGAUUCCCGGCGAAGGCG